UUGGGUUCUGGUUAAACAGAUUCACCUGAAGGCAGCCCUUAUUAAGAGAACAGAGUGCUCUGGCAUGUUUCAAGAUGGUUCCUCUGCCCCUCCUCUUGCUGAAAGCACAAGGGGAUUUUUCUCUGAUAUUUACUGCAAUAACUUGUUAGAACAUCAGGAAGUAAAACUCACAGAAGUGUGGGGGCCUCCCAAAGACUGUGUCCUCUGGAGAUUGUGUCUCUCAAGCUUGACCACACCGAGUUUCCAGCAAAUCAUUGAUUACAGUUCAAUGUUUCCUACCCUAGCACUGGCUCCCACGCAGAUUUCUGCUCCCAGGACUCUGUUCCGGUAAGCACAUCUUUAUGAAUGAAUUCAAAAGUACAAUUCUCUCCAGUAUUUGGAGGCAGAUACUAAUGCUCUGAAGUCUCUAUUGAGACUUGGUUUGUCACCUGUGGAAAACUAAUUCUGAAGUUCAACAAACUGAAGUUCCCAGUAGGAUAUCUGAAGGUGGAAGGACUCAGAGGCCAGGAGAAUGGGCUGGUUGCAUUGGUGACUGUCGAUGCUGUACUUCUUCUGGAAUCAAUUAAAAAGGCUGCAUCCAAACAGAGCAAGUGGAGUGGAAAAGGAGAGAAAUCACCCAGUUGUCUGUAAAAACUUGGAGUUAUUAUCAAAGCUUAAACCCAUAAUUGACUUCUCUUGUCUCUACUUUCUUAAAAGCCCUAACCUAUCAUACUUAGGGCAAAAGGCUUUUAUCCUGACAGAGGAACAUGAAAGAAGAGAAGUGUUAUUCACAGAGGAUAGGAAAAAAGACAAAAUUCUUGGUUUUCUAAGAAACAAAUUCUCCACUAAGGAAUAGAUUCUUUAUUUUAGAAAACUAUGGGGUCAUUCUUCCAGCUGUAUCAUUUUAAAGAUGUAAAAUCUGAGGCUGGGAGAUUUUCAAAUGUCCAGUGUUAUACGUGCCCAAUGUCAUCCAGCUGCCAACUGUUGGAGUUUGGAUUUGUUUAUGUCUGCUUUAUAGGAAAACCUUUCCUGGAGAAUUGUUUAUGCCAACUUAAAGAAAAAGAAAUUGAAAAUUAAAUUUGGAUGGUAUAGUCAGUUCUAUUAGAUCAUUGUCAUAGAGUUAUAUCAUUUUUGAACAAAAAAAAAGGAUCUUCAAAGAUAUGUAUUAUAACGUUAUCAUUGCAAAAUCCAAAAUAUAUAGCCCCACAUAAUUUAGUGAUUUUCAAGGUAAUAAGAAAAUCAGAGUAAGACAUUCCUGAUUCUCAAACAAACUUUCUGCCCUCUAAACACAAAACAGUUGGUGUACCUGGAAUGUAUUUUUUUCUCUCUCUUUGGCUGCAAAAUUUAGAAAAAUUUUAGGAAAUUAUGAAUAUUUUAUUAAGAAGUAACGAUGAAUUUCUACUUAGAAUCCAUAUUUUUGGAAAUUGAACUGGUAAUUAUAAAGAAAUAGAGGUUGUAGGCUUCCACAGAAGCAUAUGACUGAUUAAUAAAAACACAAAGUCCUAGGUUUUAUCUCCAUGAAUGUGAGAUAAGAGAUAUUAAACCCAGUGAGAAAGAAAAGUAAUGUAGUGAGACACUUAGACUAAAGAUUUAGUAUGCUUCCUAAAUUCCUGAUGUUUUCCCAAAACAAUUAAUAAAUCUUCUCAACCUUGAAUGUUCCAAGAAACCCAGAUGGGUAGAGAAAUCAAAUUUCUAGAAGCAGCCUGAGAGAAAUCUAGAGUCAAGUCCAUUCCCUCUGCCUUUUAUUUUAAAUGUAGACAGAUCAUGUAAUUUAUCAUCCAAAUCAGCAUAUACUUUGACAGGUAAAAGGUUUGCUAAUGUUACUUCUUGGGUAUGACAUCUGUAAAUCAGAACCAAAAUCUGGGACAUCUGUGGUCUAUGAUAGCCCUAUCUAAAUGUCAUGUGGUAUGGCUGUUGAACAUUUGGUAGAAAAUGCUGGCCCACUGCUAGGUCAAUGGCAUCUAUUGUAUUUUGUAGUUGGGUAACAAGUGAGGGUGAUUCUAUUGCCUCACUGGUAUUUUGUCUAAGUCAGUCUAAAUUAGUAUCCUCACUUUUUUUUUUCAGUGAUUUCAUUUCCCUUCAAAACCACCUUCCAGGUUUGUAAGCAUCUGCAUAUAAUCUGGAUUUGUAUUCCUAUCUUUGUUUGCUACCUCAUAGAUGGAACAUGAAGAAUGUGCUUCUCUUUGGGAGAUAAACAUUAUGUACUGUUCUAUAAGCCAUGUGUCUAAUUACCCUUUCUUUCUUCCCCUCUGUUCACUGUGGUUUGCUCAGUGUAGAUGAGCACUGAACUCCAGGGUGAUUGUUAAAUAUUCCAAACUGUUUCUUUCCUACAUCUAUUCUGAAUGUUAUACAGUGUUGUCAGUGACUUUGGCAACCUGUGUUCAGCUUACUCAACGAUGCUAUACGUUCUGAUUUGGGGAGAAUUUACUUUUUUUUUUUUAAGGGAACCACACAAAGAAGUCUGCCAUCUUUAGAAAUGUCAAACGCGGUUUUCUGAUACAUUGCUCACCAAAGAAACACACACAUACACAACACAUUUGUAUGUACAUAUACGAUGCACAGGAAUAUAAUGACACACAUGCUAAAAAUUUUUUUUUCAGAGUAUCCCUUUAUUUUGGUAACUUGUCAUAUUAUAAAUCAUAACUUAUUCUGUAUUUUAGUUUCAAGUGUUCUUUGGCUUCAGGGGCAGUUUGCAUAGAAUAUCAUCACUUGACUAUAAUAUAUAUUUUCCUAGAUAUUUAAGUGGGAGAUUAAUCUUUGUGCAGUGGGAGACUGCAGAAUAGUUAGUAAAAUGUUUAAGAUUUUGUUAUUUUAAAUAAUAAAUACUUGUACAUCUGUUUGCAGUUUAAUGCUUUGAUACGCACAAUCUUAUCGGAGGAAGCAGUCAAUGAAC